GUAAGUCUGUCAUAUCUCUGGAGAAUAUUGUGCAGUAUGUUGUCAGUGGAGUGAAGUCAGUGGAAGGUAGGGAGGGGUAAGGGUGAGGAAAGGAGAUUAGAUUGGAAGGUCUGCCUAGGUCUAGCAGUGAAGGGCCUUCAAAGGCUGUGCGAAGUUAGGACCUUAUCCUGAAGGUAGAGGGGAGACAUUGAGCUGAUGUGGGUUGGAGAAAGAUCACUGGCAGCAAUGUGGUGGAUGAAUUGGGAGGGUCAAGGGUGGAGAGAGACACAGGGUGGAAGAGAGUUAGUCCAGCACAGGAAAGAGCAUCUGAGGACCUCAACCAUGGAAUUAGAGAAGAGGGCUGGACUAGACAAUCUCCAAAACUAAAGCUCUGUGCCCUGAACCCACCUGGGCCCAUGAUCCUUUCUGCACCUGCCCCCGUCCCUCCCAACUCCUAGUUGAUUAUAUCAGUUGCUUGCUCAUGCUCCAUCCUGGGGGAUCUGUGACCUGUUUGGGUUUUGACUCAAUCCAAUUUCCCUGUUUGUCGGUUCUGUCCACCCAACACUUCAGAUAAGAUCUCAGCUCCUUGGAGAUUAACUGGGAGGAAGCUGUACUCUGUCUCGGGGUCCUCCCACUCCCCCCUCGGCCUCACUCUGCUCUUUCCUCCAGCCUUGGAACUUGGGUCUCCAGAUUGGCAAUGGCAACUAUGCUGUCCUUCGCAUUACUCUUUCCAAGAGGAAGGAUGAGACACCACACCUCAUUGGAAGAUGUUGACAAUCAGGAACUAGAAAAAUGGAUUAAAGGGACCUUGGGACCUUAGUCUAAGAGAGAGCAGAAGCUGGUCCCACCACUGAUGUAUCUUCCGAAGAUGCAUGUCUGGGGCUUGAGUGGGGGAGCAGCGCGGUGGCUGGAGACGAGGGACGCAUCACUCCUCAUCACGGAAUGAGAGGCAUUACGGGCCAAAGAAGAGAGCUCUGAGGUUGUACAAGCCUGGAUUUGUUUGCCAGUUCUGACACUAAUUAGCUGUGUGACUCUGGGUGGUUUAUUAACUCAUCUGAGCCUCAGUUUCCACAUCUGUAAACAUGAGGUGACGGUAUCUCUUGUACUUGGUUGUUGAGAUUAUUCAGUGAGAUACCAUGUGUGAAAGCACCUAGCAUGGUAUGUGGCUUUGACUAGGAGCUCAAUGAAUACCACCUCCCUUACUUCACUUCCUGGAACUCUGGUCUUUAUUCCAUCUAAGGCCUUCUUGGCAGCCACCCAGCAGGCAUGCUGGUGGGCAUCUUAUUGGAUGGAAAGUCUUGGUGCCUUUUAGAGCUUCCAGAAAGAUCCAUGGACAGAAUAAGUGGCCACUUUAUGCUAUUCCAGAGCAUGACCUGAGGAGUGGAUACUGGACUCCAUCUGUCACUUGUUUACUCACUACCUCAGUGUGGCCUGAAAUUCUUCCCAUUAGUCAUUUCCAUUUUAAUUUUCUUCUGGAAUCAAUAGAUUCACCUGGAAAACAGUCUGUCAUCUAUAGGCUGGAGUGUAGAAAGCCAUUGUCAAGGGUGGAGAGGAAGGCCAGGUGUGUUGGCUGUCUCUCAUCCAGCAGCACAUUGGACCCUUUAAGAAUGAAAUUAGUUGACUGACACCUUGGAGCAGAGACUCUGUCACUUACCUCUUUUUUGCUGGAGCCCUGCCUACAACAGGAGAUUAUCAACACUUUUUGUUGAUCCAGUGAAUGUCUUUUAAAAAUUAUGUGAUUCUGAUACAUGCUACAACAUGGAUAAAACUUGAGGACAUUAUGCUAAGUGAAAUAAGCCGGUCACAAAAAGACACAUACUGCAUGAUUCCACUUAUAUGAGGCACCUAGAGUAGACAACUCACAGAGACAGAAAGCAGAAGGGUGGCUGCCAGGGGCUGGGGAGGCGGAAUGAAGAGCUGUUGAAUGGGGACAGAGUUUCAAUUUUGCAAGAUGAAAAAGUUCUGGAGAGGAUAGUGGUGAUGGCUGCGCAACAUUGUGAAGGUACUUGAUGCCACUGAAUUGUGUGCUUAAAAAUGGUAAAUUUUGUUAUGUAUAUUUUACCACAAUAAAAAAAUUGUGUGUGUG
rnacentral:lncRNA from 1 species